ACGCUGGCGGCAGGCUUAACACAUGCAAGUCGAGCGGUAGAGAGAAGCUUGCUUCUCUUGAGAGCGGCGGACGGGUGAGUAAUGCCUAGGAAUCUGCCUGGUAGUGGGGGAUAACGUCCGGAAACGGACGCUAAUACCGCAUACGUCCUACGGGAGAAAGCAGGGGACCUUCGGGCCUUGCGCUAUCAGAUGAGCCUAGGUCGGAUUAGCUAGUUGGUGGGGUAAUGGCUCACCAAGGCGACGAUCCGUAACUGGUCUGAGAGGAUGAUCAGUCACACUGGAACUGAGACACGGUCCAGACUCCUACGGGAGGCAGCAGUGGGGAAUAUUGGACAAUGGGCGAAAGCCUGAUCCAGCCAUGCCGCGUGUGUGAAGAAGGUCUUCGGAUUGUAAAGCACUUUAAGUUGGGAGGAAGGGCAGUAAAUUAAUACUUUGCUGUUUUGACGUUACCGACAGAAUAAGCACCGGCUAACUCUGUGCCAGCAGCCGCGGUAAUACAGAGGGUGCAAGCGUUAAUCGGAAUUACUGGGCGUAAAGCGCGCGUAGGUGGUUCGUUAAGUUGGAUGUGAAAUCCCCGGGCUCAACCUGGGAACUGCAUUCAAAACUGACGAGCUAGAGUAUGGUAGAGGGUGGUGGAAUUUCCUGUGUAGCGGUGAAAUGCGUAGAUAUAGGAAGGAACACCAGUGGCGAAGGCGACCACCUGGACUGAUAUUGACACUGAGGUGCGAAAGCGUGGGGAGCAAAC
rnacentral:rRNA from 1 species